rnacentral:lncRNA from 1 species
GAACAUGCCAUGAAGAACUUUCUGAAAGGAAUCACUAAUUGACAAAGACCAACAUACUAGCGUACAACUUCUUACUAAUAAGAAACACUGCUUACUAUCAAGAAAAACAGACUACUUUACAUUUAGGCCAGCAACAAUCAAAUUAAUUAUGCAACCCUUUUGUUGUCAAACUGAAACUUGCACUUAGAAUUGCUAGAGCAAGGAGGUCUUCUGACAGAUCAAGCACCUUUGAGUGAGCCGACACCACAGAAGUAAAGGUGUCAAUGACCUUCAUCAAGCAAACUUGGCAUACUAGUUUAAUCCCCAAAACAAAAUGAACCAAAAUCACAACGAUCUGAAAAAACACUCUAACCGUUUAAAUACGAAGGACUUUUUUUGUUAAAAAAUAGCACAUGAAUCAAAUUAAUGCACAUAAGAAAGAGAUGAUUAAAAAUUAUGAGUUCUUUCUCUGUUCUAACUCAGAGUACAAGAAAAUAUGUACCACAACAACAUUUCAUCUGUAAAAACUGUCAAGCAAGUACCAUGGUAUUACUAUGGAACUUAGCAACUGAUCGACAAUUUCAAUCCUUCCCAUUCAUGGUAUUACAUCUAUACUCAUUCAAACAUUAAUUGCAUUCUAACCUAUGCCGAAUUCAUACAGUAUUUACACCUAUACUCCUGAUUAAUACCAAGAAAGAUAGUAUGACUUCAUCAGUACACAUAGAGUUAAUUAUUCAUUCCCC